CCCUCGUAUCGGAUUCUUCCAAGCCAUGAAACUGUUAACUCCAUGGUUCUCUGCUCCCCCAUCCCCCUUUUGGCUGUUAACUUCUGUAUUGGUCUCUACAUUAUAUGUUCCCAUCCCUGAAUUUUCUUCUGCUGGUACUAAUUCUUAGC